UGCCUUGGCUCUCGGAGGCGAUGAAGGACGUGAUAAGCUGCGAUAAGCUUCGGGUAGGUGCAAAUAACCUUUGAUCCCAAGAUUUCCGAAUGGGGCAACCCGGCUGGUAGAAGGCCAGUCAUUCCGUAAGGAAGGCGAACGUGGGGAACUGAAACAUCUAAGUACCCAUAGGAGAAGAAAACAAAAGUGAUUCCGCAAGUAGUGGCGAGCGAACGCGGAACAGCCCAAACCGAUGAUGUUUAGGCAUUGUCGGGGUAGUAGGACCACGUUGUGGCAAGAGAUUAAGGAAGUAGAACGUUUUGGAACAAACGGCCGUAGACGGUGAAAGCCCAGUAUACGACUCUUUAACGAAGCCUAGUGGAAUCCUGAGUAGCGCGGAGCACGAGAAAUUCUGUGUGAAUCAGCGGGGCCCAUCCCGUAAGGCUAAAUACUCCCGAGAGACCGAUAGCGAACCAGUACUGUGAAGGAAAGGUGAAAAGCACCUCGAACAGAGGAGUGAAAUAGUCCCUGAAACCGUCUGCCUACAAGCGGUCGGAGCAACGUAAGUUGUGACGGCGUGCCUUUUGCAUAAUGAACCUACGAGUUACUUUCUCCGGCAAGGUUAAGGGCUUCAGGCCCGGAGCCGAAGCGAAAGCGAGUCUUAAUAGGGCGUGAUAGUCGGAGUGAGUAGACGCGAAACCAAGUGAUCUACCCUUGGUCAGGAUGAAGGUUGGGUAACACCAACUGGAGGUCCGAAUGGGUAUACGUUGAAAAGUGUUCCAAUGAACUGAGGGUAGGGGUGAAAGGCUAAUCAAACUUGGAGAUAGCUCGUACUCCCCGAAAUGCAUUUAGGUGCAGCCUUUAUUUAGUAUAGCAUGAGGUAGAGCGACUGAUUGGAUGCGAGGGCUUCACCGCCUAUCAAGUCCAGAUAAACUCCGAAUGCGUGCUAUAUAUUGAUAAGGAGUGAGGGCGCGGGUGCUAAGGUCCGCGUCCGAGAGGAGAAGAAUCCAGACCAUCAGCUAAGGUCCCCAAAUAACAGUUAAGUUGAACUAACGAAGUCGGACUGCAGAGACAGCUAGGAUGUUGGCUUGGAAGCAGCCAUUCAUUUAAAGAGUGCGUAACAGCUCACUAGUCGAGGAGUCCGGCGUGGAUAAUACUCGGGCAUAAACUGUUUACCGAAGCUAUGGAUGUAGAAAUACAUGGUAGGGGAGCAUUCCAACGGCGUCGAAGGUGAAGGAUGACCUUUGCUGGAGCUUUUGGAAACGCAAAUGUAGGUAUAAGUAACGAUAAAGGAGGUGAGAAACCUCCUCGCCGAAAGACUAAGGUUUCCUGAUCAACGUUAAUCGGAUCAGGGUAAGUCGGGACCUAAGGUUAAGCCGAACGGCGAUACCGAUGGAAGAAUGGUUUAAUAUUCCCAUACUACUUUAUGGAGCGAUGUGGAGACGGAGAAGUGAAAGUCCUGCCAUCUGACGGAAUAGGUGGUUGAAGAGUGUAGAUGUAGAUUCCUGUAGGCAAAUCCGCAGGGAGAGUCGACCUUGAUAGUAUGCCGCGUGCUUGCACAAGGCAAAAUGGACGUAAUCAGGCUCCCAAGAAAAUCCGCUAAGCAUAUUCAUAAAGUACCCGUACCGUAAACGGACACACGUAGUUGGGUUGAAAAUACUGAGGCGCUCGAGUGAUUCACGGUUAAGGAACUAGGCAAAUUGACCCUGUAACUUCGGGAUAAAGGGUCCCUACUGAGAGGUAGGGCGCAGAGAAUAGGUCCAGGCAACUGUUUAACAAAAACACAUGGCUGUGCGAAAUAGAAAUAUGAAGUAUACAGCCUGACACCUGCCCGGUGCUGGAAGGUUAAGAGGAGAGCUCAUCGCAAGAGAAGGCUUGAAUUGAAGCCCCAGUAAACGGCGGCCGUAACUAUAACGGUCCUAAGGUAGCGAAAUUCCUUGUCGGGU
rnacentral:rRNA from 1 species